rnacentral:tRNA from 4 species
GGAUGGGUGGCAGAGUGGUCGAUUGCGCACGCUUGGAAAGCGUGUGUACCGCAAGGUACCCAGGGUUCGAAUCCCUGCCCAUCCGCCA